GACGAACGCUGGCGGCGCGCUUAACACAUGCAAGUCGAGCGAAGCAGCGGACGGGUGAGUAACACGUGAGUAACCUGCCUUAGACAUUGGGAUAGCCUCGGGAAACCGGGAUUCAUACUAAAUGGUCUAAGAUGGACUCGCAUCCCAUUAUUUAGUUGGUAGGUAACGGCCCACCAAGGCGACGAUGGGUAGCCGGGCUCAGAGGGUGGACGGCGACAUUUGAACGAGGAAACGGUACAAGAUCUACGGGAUGGAGCAGUGGGGAAUAGUGCACAGUGGAGGGAGCUCUGAUGCAGCGAGGACGGGUGAACGAAGUAGUCUGUCGAGUCGUAAAAUUCUUUUAUAUGAGAAGCGGUACCAAACGAAAAAGCCCCGGCUAACUACGUGCCAGCAGCCGCGGUAAUAC
rnacentral:rRNA from 1 species